AUUAGUCAGUUGUCUCUCUCAUUUCUUCCUUUUUAUCACCUCGUCUCCUCCCUUUCUUUCUUCGUCAGAGCAGCAUCGCCUCCAGAAACGCCUCUCCCCUUUCGUUCGCUAGGACUUGGCAAUCGCAGGCGCCGUCCGCCAUCCGCCGUCGCCUGCCGCUUGCUCGUCCCCGAAGGAACGAAGCCAUGUGUCCAGGUGCGUGUGCCUCCAUCUCCGCUGUCGCUGUGCUAUACUUCUGGUGUCGUUCGUCGGCGGAAUCGCGAGCUCAUACAAGUGGCAGCGCCCACCGACGAUGGCUCCAUACGUACGGCCGGCCACGCGUUUCCUCAAAUUUACUAGUCUCCCGCCUGGCGCACGACGCAUUGCCAUGGCCGAGACUGAGCCGUCCGUCGUGUAGCAGUGAAACUGUUGCGGCGCCGCGCCCUGCAUGCGCACUCUGCGGUUGUGGUCGGGCGUUCUCAGCUUGCAACAGCGCUACGUCGCCCGGUCUUUGCUGGAAGGAGGGACCAAAUUAAUAAUCAACGUUGUUGUUCUCCUACAGGAGCCCGUUGCUUUUUAUAUCCGGACGGUGAAGUUCCGAAGGAUGCUCUGGUGAUUUGCGGGAUGUUGUGUAUCGAUUGAAGGAACGGUCAAGGAAUGAAAAUGGUCUGCUAAAUGCCAGCUUGGCGAAGAACAUGAUGCUAGAUGCGUAUGUGUGUGAUUUAGAAGUCAGCAUCGUGGAGAAGUUGAUGUCCUGAAGAAGAGGAUUCAGAAACUGCAGUUGUCCUUUGUGCUUGCUCUGUUCUGCUUUGUCAUUUCACACUUUUGGAAAUGAUUGUCAUGAAGAAAAAGAAGCAUCCUGGUGAAAUUAGUCCAAUAGGGAGUCAUUUAUGUAUGUUGUUUUUCUUUGUAAGCUGUUAAGCAAAAUUCAGAAUGUAUGAUGUUAAAAAGGUUUAGAAUUUGUCUUGUAUCUUGUUAUGCAAAAUUCAGAAUUUGGUACAAUGCUUCUUGGAAGUGUUAUGAAAAUAUUUGGAAUUUGGUACAAUGCAAAAUCGCAAUGCUAUGGCUGAUCUUCUUAUGUAUAUUGUAUACUGUAUGCUGAUCUGAAAAGAUUCGGAAUAUAUGUCUGAUCUUCUUAUA
rnacentral:lncRNA from 1 species